rnacentral:rRNA from 1 species
AUUGAACGCUGGCGGCAGGCCUAACACAUGCAAGUCGAACGAGUGGCGGACGGGUGAGUAAUGUCUGGGAAUCUGCCUUAUGGAGGGGGAUAACUACUGGAAACUGUAGCUAAUACCGCGUACCAUAGGAUGAGCCCAGAUGGGAUUAGGUAGUUGGUGGGGUAAAGGCUCACCUAGGCGACGAUCCCUAGCUGGUCUGAGAGGAUGACCAGCCACACUGGAACUGAGACACGGCCCAGACUCCUACGGGAGGCAGCAGUGGGGAAUAUUGCGCAAUGGGGGCAACCCUGACGCAGCCAUGCCGCGUGAAUGAAGAAGGCCUUCGGGUUGUAAAGUUCUUUCAGUAGGGAGGCGUUAACUACAGAAGAAGCACCGGCUAACUCCGUGCCAGCAGCCGCGGUAAUUC